UACAGAGGGUGCGAGCGUUGUCCGGAAUCACUGGGCGUAAAGGGCGCGUAGGUGGCGACCCAAGUCGAUGGUGAAAGCUCGCUGCUCAACGGCGAGUCGGCCACCGAUACUGGGUUGCUCGAGCACUGUAGAGGCUAAUGGAAUUCCGGGUGUAGCGGUGGAAUGCGUAGAGAUCCGGAAGAACACCGGUGGCGAAGGCGGUUAGCUGGGCAGUUGCUGACACUGAGGCGCGAAAGCGUGGGGAGCAAACAGG
rnacentral:rRNA from 1 species